rnacentral:snRNA from 1 species
AUGCUCAAUUCAGCAGCACAUAUACUAAAAUCACAACAAUACACAGAUUAGCAUGGCCCCCACACAAGGAUGACACACAAAUUCAGGAAGCAUACAUAUUU